rnacentral:rRNA from 1 species
GACGAACCGAGCGAACGUUGUUCGGAAUCACUGGGCGUAAAGGGCGCGUAGGCGGCCGUUCAAGUCGGGGGUGAAAGCCUGUGGCUCAACCACAGAAUGGCCUUCGAUACUGGACGGCUCGAGACCGGAAGAGGUCAGUGGAACUGCGAGUGUAGAGGUGAAAUUCGUAGAUAUUCGCAAGAACACCAGUGGCGAAGGCGGCUGACUGGUCCGGUUCUGACGCUGAGGCGCGAAAGCGUGGGGAGCAAACAGG